UACGGCCGCAAGGCUGAAAACUAAAAAGGAAUUGGCGGGGGAGCACCACAACGGGUGGAGCUUGCGGUUUAAUUGGAAUCAACGCCGGAAAUCUUACCGGGACCGACAGCGAUAUGAAGGCCAGGCUGAAGACUUUGCCGGAUUAGCUGAGAGGUGGUGCAUGGCCGUCGUCAGUUCGUACUGUGAAGCAUCCUGUUAAGUCAGGCAACGAGCGAGACCCACGCCCACAGUUGCCAGCGUACUCUCCGGAGUGAUGGGUACACUGUGGGGACCGCCGCUGCUAAAGCGGAGGAAGGAAUGGGCAACGGUAGGUCAGUAUGCCCCGAAUAUCCCGGGCUACACGCGAGCUACAAUGGUUGGUACAAUGGGUAUCUACCCCGAGAGGGGAUGGCAAUCUCCUAAAACCAAUCUUAGUUCGGAUUGAGGGCUGCAACUCGCCCUCAUGAAGCUGGAAUCCGUAGUAAUCGCGUUUCAACAGAACGCGGUGAAUACGUCCCUGCUCCUUGCACACACCGCCCGUCAAACCACCCGAGUAGGGUCUGAAUGAGAGCGCUUACCAAUCGGAGGCGUUCGAAUUUGGGCUUUACAAGGGGGGUUAAGUCGUAACAAGGUAACCAAGGGCGAA
rnacentral:rRNA from 1 species